AAUAUAUUUUAUAUUAUUGAGGGAAAAAAAACGAAUGUGUGGGGUGGUACGUUUAAAUCAAAAUUGAAUAGAAAAUACGAUUAAAAAUAAUAUUACUUCGUGAAAUAUAAGCAAGUAGUCUAUGGGAAAUAACUAAGAGUUACUAUUCAAUAUCACGUCAAUAUUUUAUUAUCCAAUCGAGUUUAGAGUUUACUGUUGUACUGUUGUUUGACACUAGUACCCUUCUCGCCUCUACCGACUCGCCUAAAUGUCACGUAGAUAAACAUUGAAGUCAUUUCAAGUUCUCGUCCAACACUUCUGCUACUACAAAAACAGUCUCAAUAGCCAGUGAUAUUGUUAUACAGAAUACUAUUAGCUAUUGUUACGCGUGUACAUGAUUUAAUAUAAAAUGGCACGUAAGUCGUAGAGGAGUGAGUGAACUCGGUAUACUCGAGUUUUAUUACUUCCUCGAUAGUAUUUACUACACUAUAGAUAUUAUGUUAACACGAUUCUCUUUUCAAUGUAUUUAAUGGAUAAAAACAUCGUUGUUGUAUAAAUGGGUUGUAGGGUAACUAUAGAAUAUUAUAGGGUAAUGUUUAGUUAUAAGCUUUCGAGAAACUUUAGCUAUACAGUUUUCGUGUGUUUAAACGAAGCCAAAAAUUAUGAUCCACAGAAACUUACAAUUAGUUGUAUAAUAGAGCUAUACAAAUAUCAUUCCUGCCAAUUGCUAGAAUAUUUUGAAAAUUAUUUCAGGUCGA